rnacentral:rRNA from 1 species
GUGGGGAAUAUUGGACAAUGGGCGAAAGCCUGAUCCAACCAUGCCGCGUGUGUGAAGAAGGUCUUCGGAUUGUAAAGCACUUUAAGUUGGGAGGAAGGGCAGUAAGUUAAUACCUUGCUGUUUUGACGUUACCGACAGAAUAAGCACCGGCUAACUUCGUGCCAGCAGCCGCGGUAAUACGAAGGGUGCAAGCGUUAAUCGGAAUUACUGGGCGUAAAGCGCGCGUAGGUGGUUUUGUAAGUUGGAGGUGAAAUCCCCGGGCUCAACCUGGGAACUGCCUCCAAAACUGCAUGACUAGAGUACGGUAGAGGGUGGUGGAAUUUCCUGUGUAGCGGUGAAAUGCGUAGAUAUAGGAAGGAACACCAGUGGCGAAGGCGACCACCUGGACUGAUACUGACACUGAGGUGCGAAAGCGUGGGGAGCAAACAGGAUUAGAUACCCCUGUAGUCC